AGGCUCCCGGGCCUUCCCCUCGUGGCCACCUAGCUGUGUGCUUUGUUUGGCUGCUGUCACCCCCAGGAAGCCCAUCCUUCCUGCAGGCCUUUGUCUUGGUGUCACCCUGCCUGAGCUGGCCCCAACCACAGUAGCAACAGUGAUGCUGAUGUGUGACUGCUGCCAGGAGCCUGCUCACAUGACCGUGUGGAGAAAGUUCUUUCCCUGAGGACCAUCUGGAGUGGACGCGUGCACUACCCCUCUCUGAAUACACCCUCCCCACGAGGCCCUCUGGAGCAUCCUGUAGAGCCAGCCCCUACCCAGAGACCCUGAGCCCAGAGAAUGCGCUGGGUGGUGAGCCUGGGGACGAAUGCAGAGCCCUAGGUCUCCUCUCCAGAAGUAAGUAUGGGGUUUGUGUAAAUUGCUUGGUCAGGAGGGCGGGACCUGGGGUCUUCACUAGGCUUCCCAAAAACUGGGUUGAGCACAUAGUAG
rnacentral:lncRNA from 1 species